CGGGGACCGUGAUCCGAGCCUCGUUGGGCUCGAUGGUGCAGAACGGGAAGUUCUCGGCGGGAAUCGAGAGCUUCGUGAGCGUGUUGAAAAGCGUUGAUUUGCCGACAUUCGGUAGCCCGACGAUUCCGAUCUUGAGGUGGGAGGAGAAGCGACCGAGGAUGGGGCGCUCCGGGGCGGCGUCCUUUGAUUUGGCGGCCUUCGGCGGCAUCGUGCGGAGAUGAUGAGAAGCUGAGG
rnacentral:misc_RNA from 1 species